UCCUAUCGAGUCAGACAGACUCAGCCCCUAGUCAGCAGGUCGGGGGUGAACUAUCAGCACAGACUCUACGUGAGAUUCAGAUCGAUAUUGCACUCCUCACAGACCCCCUUCUGACAAGAUAUCACCCCGAUCAGUCAAGCUAUUAUCAAGGGGACCAACACUGCUGCUACUGCCAACUUUUUGGAUACACCCACUGAAUAAGCUGGAGGGUCUCAUGUAAAUUGAUGCCGAUGUAACCGAACGCCCAGAGAGCUCAUGGAGCCGAUCCGGUCCAUCCGCCGGCCGAAGCAGCUGGACGACUUCCUGGUCGAGUCGUUGCGGAUGCUCUUCAGGUUCUUUGCUGAGAGAAACUCCCUGAUUGCUGCCUCAUCCAGAGUUGGGGGGGGCUGCUGUUCGUCUGCCGCCUCCUCUGUGCUCAGGCUCUCCAGGUUCCUCUCUGCAGUGACACUCUGCUCCACUUCGGAAACGGACUCCUCUAGUCUGCUAAGGAGCUCCUAUAACAUCCACAUAUACACAGGUUAUGCCAUGUCUUGCAUACUAGACAGAAACAUUUCAAAUUCAAUUAAGGACAUACAAGGAAGGGCCUUCAAACAAAGAUGUCAGCACCUUUAGACAUAGUAAUCGGAAGCAGAUGUUAAGACCAUUAGAAGCAUUUGUGAUAUUCUUCUACAGGGUAAUCGCCAAAUAUUCACAUUUUCAGCCCUUAAUUCUAUGUGGUUGACUCAACAACCGUAGCAUUAUUUGUCACGUUAUCAUGACACUUUCAGUUAUUUGCUUAGAGCACAUAUUUAACUUCAGUAACUCAUAUCUGAUCACAUCAAAGUCCAAUUAUAUCAUAUAUGGUCCCAAGGGUCCAAAUAAUGUAGGAUAUGAUGUUUAUACAAUACGAUCUAUAACUAAACAUAAAUCGGUUAAAUAAAAUGCAGUCUCUGCAAGUGUUGAAAGUGUUGUCCAUGUUCCCUUGAGCUCAUACAAACUACCACCCCAGGUUUCAGGAUCAAUCAGAGCCUCACCUUAAAGAAGUCUAUGUCAGCGUCAGAGAGGCCGGGGCUGAUGGGAGAUGUGCAGAACAGCUGUAGGUUUAAGAUGAGGAGGAAGCCACAGAGGGGAAUGGAAGACAGACACAUGUUUCCUGUGAGUUCCUGUUGAUG